CACCUGUGCCCAUCUGUGCCUACGCACUGGUAUGGCCCCAGGCAGGCACACUGCAACACACACACGUGUACAUAAGAGUACACUCUGCAGUCAGGUAUCCACUGACAUGCACAUGAUCACGUACCACAUGCCCCCUACUCACGCAUACACAGUACUGACACACACAGCGGCACGCCCCACUCACAUACCCACACACAUGCGCACACCCACAUUCAUCUGUGUGCCUUCAUUCAUUCGGCAGUUAUUUACUGAGCACCUGUUGUGUGUCAGGCAAGCAUAGUGCCCACUUUGGGGCUACAGCAGUGAGCAAAAGGGACAAAAGCCUUGCCCACAUGGAGCUGACAUUCUAGGGAGCAGAGUCAGAUGACAAGAGCAGUAAAAUGCCUAGCAUUCUAGAAGGUUCCAGAUGGUAGGGACAGCCGGUGCCAAAGCCCCGAGGUACGAGCAUGCCUGUGCAUGUUCACACCUCAGCAGACUUCACAGGCGUGUAUGCCAGGACACGCAUGUACACAAGUGCUCACUGACCCGACAGCAGGCCCAGGCCCACAGGCACAGCAUCCCAUGUGUGGGUUAGGUUAGUGGCCACCCAGGAAGAGCUCCCGCCUCCUCUUCUUCCCUCCAAGCCCCCUCCCGACCUGCUGUCAGAUCCUCCCUAAGCAGCUCCGGCUGAAGCCAGGCCCCACUCAGUGAACUCAGUGUCACAGAUGCAGCUCCACUCCCUAAAGGCAGCCCCCUGCCUCCAAGCUAGCAGGGCAGGGGAUGGGGAUCCCCUUCCCCCAGCCAUGGAGGGAGACGAGAGGGGAAGUGAGGGAGGCCAGAGGGAGAUAGGAUCCUCAAACUCCACAAAGGAGAGACAGAUGCUGUGGGUGUGCCCUCUGGGGGCUGCAGGGACCCGGUUCAGCUGGAGGGAGAACUUCCCUCACUGAUGUGACCUGGGGCACAGGGAGGACAGAAUGCCCGGGAACCCCCUCCAUAAUCUAGGCCGGUAGGGGGCUCCGGACCCAACUGUACUCCCCACCCAGGGGCUUUGCCCCUCCCCCUGCACUCCAGGCCCUGGCACUCAUGGGGUCUAACUGCUCACGUCAUGCAACCUUGACCAUGUGAGUGAGGGCUCUGAGGUCUUAAAGAGGUCAAGGAGGCUGCAUGGAUGUCAUCUGGUGUGGCCACCCAUGCUGGAGCCACUCCUCAGCAUGUCAGGAGGAGAGGCCCCUUCCCUACCCACCCCAGGCUGGUACCCAGCUGGGACCCAGGCUCCAGUCCCAGCUCUGCUGUGGCCACCUUGAGGGAGCCUGAUACAUCAUCGCCUUCCUCUCCUGCCUCACAGCAUGCCUCAGAAAUGGGAGGACAUCACCCACCCUUCCACUGCACCCCAGGACUCCAGGAAGACAACAUGCAAAGAGCCUGGGUGCGGCAGAUGAAGCCACAAUAUAGUCAAGCCCCUCCCCCUUGCUGGCAGCAAGAACAGGACCCAAAUCUCAGAGGGGGAGGUGGGGUGGGCCUACUGGAUGUGCCAGGCACCAGGACCAGGUCACACUGGGCCAAAGCUGUCAUGGUGCAGGCCCUGUGCACAGAACCACAGAACAUGCUCAACAAGCCCCCUAAGCUUAGGGGCACUGACCUAUCCUGGGGACCAGUAAUCUUCAAGAUGAGAAAGCGGAGGCACAGUGGUGCCCUGAUACGGCCAAGAGAAGGACUGUGGGUAAGCAGCAGAGCUAGGAACAGACCCCAGCUGCCCCCGCUGGCAAAUGCACAGAACCAUUACAUCAUCCCACUCCGAGACCCAACCAAGAGGUACCCACACCCUGUGGCAGCAGGGGCUGAAGGCCUGGAAAUAGGAGAGGAGGCCCCCAUAUACUCCAGCACCCAAGGCCAUGAGAGAAACUGAGGCCCAGGAAUGUGCUAGGUCCGUAAGGAGGAAGGUGGGAAGGGCUGGGUGGUGAGCUUCUUCAGAGCUGAGGUUCUUCUCUGCCACCCUCUCCUGUCUUGCAGGCCUCAAACCGCGUCAGGCCCCUUGAGAGCUCCUAUGGAUCAACAGUGUCUGGGGAGAGCCAGAGCCCCGGGACAGAUCGGGGGCUGCCUAAGACCCUCAGACGGCCCAGCUGGCACAGAGUCAACCGUUCAAUCUAGUCCAAGCCUGAAUUCUUGGGGUCUGGGUCUGUGGGGUGUCCAGAAUCCUGAAGUGGGAUGACUGAGGCUUGGGGGUGCCCCUGCCUGGGCUGCUCAGCCAGUAGGCGUGAAUAAGGGUUCCCACCUCCCAAGUCACAGAGGGAGAGAAACUGAGGCACUGGAAGAGCUGCUUCUCUCUUCCACAGGACUCCACAGGAAUCUGGGGCUUGAAACUUCGACCCUGGUUCCCUGCCCUGCAGCCCUGAUAGGUUCACACAUGAAGGAAUGUUCUCAGUGCA